rnacentral:rRNA from 1 species
ACUCCUACGGGAGGCAGCAGUGGGGAAUAUUGCACAAUGGGCGCAAGCCUGAUGCAGCCAUGCCGCGUGUAUGAAGAAGGCCUUCGGGUUGUAAAGUACUUUCAGCAGUGAGGAAGGUGGGUAUGUUAAUAGCAUAUUCAUUUGACGUUAGCUGCAGAAGAAGCACCGGCUAACUCCGUGCCAGCAGCCGCGGUAAUACGGAGGGUGCGAGCGUUAAUCGGAAUUACUGGGCGUAAAGCGCAUGCAGGUGGUUUGUUAAGUCAGAUGUGAAAGCCCGGGGCUCAACCUCGGAAUUGCAUUUGAAACUGGCAAACUAGAGUACUGUAGAGGGGGUAGGAAUUUCAGGUGUAGCGGUGAAAUGCGUAGAGAUCUGAAGGAAUACCGGUGGCGAAGGCGGCCCCCUGGACAGAUACUGACACUCAGAUGCGAAAGCGUGGGGAGCAAACAGGAUUAGAUACCCUGGUAGGAUAGCG